rnacentral:rRNA from 1 species
UACGGAGGAUCCGAGCGUUAUCCGGAUUUAUUGGGUUUAAAGGGUGCGCAGGCGGGGGAUUAAGUCGGCGGUGAAAUUUUGCAGCUCAACUGUAAAAGUGCCUUCGAAACUGGUUUCCUUGAGUGUAGAUGAAGUAGGCGGAAUUUGUGGUGUAGCGGUGAAAUGCAUAGAUAUCACGAGGAACUCCGAUUGCGCAGGCAGCUUACUAAACUACUACUGACGCUCAGGCACGAAGCGUGGGGAUCAAACAGGAUUAGAUACCCGUGUAGU